UACGUAGGGUGCAAGCGUUGUCCGGAAUUAUUGGGCGUAAAGAGCUCGUAGGCGGUCUGUCGCGUCUGCUGUGAAAACUCAGGGCUUAACCCUGAGCUUGCAGUGGGUACGGGCAGACUAGAGUGCGGUAGGGGAGACUGGAAUUCCUGGUGUAGCGGUGAAAUGCGCAGAGUAUCAGGAGGGAACACCGGUGGGCGAAAGGCGGGUCUCUGGGCCGUA
rnacentral:rRNA from 1 species